AGUGAACGCUGGCGGUAGGCCUAACACAUGCAAGUCGAACGGCAGCACAGUAAGAGCUUGCUCUUACGGGUGGCGAGUGGCGGACGGGUGAGGAAUACAUCGGAAUCUACUUUUUCGUGGGGGAUAACGUAGGGAAACUUACGCUAAUACCGCAUACGACCUACGGGUGAAAGCAGGGGAUCUUCGGACCUUGCGCGAUUGAAUGAGCCGAUGUCGGAUUAGCUAGUUGGCGGGGUAAAGGCCCACCAAGGCGACGAUCCGUAGCUGGUCUGAGAGGAUGAUCAGCCACACUGUAACUGAGACACGGUCCAGACUCCUACGGGAGGCAGCAGUGGGGUAUAUUGGACAAUGGGCGCAAGCCUGAUCCAGCCAUACCGCGUGGGUGAAGAAGGCCUUCGGGUUGUAAAGCCCUUUUGUUGGGAAAGAAAAGCAGCAGGUUAAUACCCCGCUGUUCUGACGGUACCCAAAGAAUAAGCACCGGCUAACUUCGUG
rnacentral:rRNA from 1 species